AAUCAACGCUGGCGGCGUGCCUAACACAUGCAAGUCGAACGAGAAAGUGGAGCAAUCCAUGAGUAAAGUGGCGACCGGGUGAGUAACACGUGACUAACCUGCCCUAGAGUGGGGGAUAACCUCGGGAAACCGGGGCUAAUACCGCAUAACAUCGCGAGGGGAAGAUCCUUGCGAUCAAAGGAGCAAUUCGCUCAAGGAGGGGGUCGCGGCUGAUUAGCUAGUUGGUGAGGUAACGGCUCACCAAGGCGAAGAUCAGUAGCCGGCCUGAGAGGGCGCACGGCCACACUGGAACUGAAACACGGUCCAGACUCCUACGGGAGGCAGCAGUGGGGAAUUUUGCGCAAUGGGGGAAACCCUGACGCAGCAACGCCGCGUGGAGGAUGAAGUCCCUUGGGAUGUAAACUCCUUUCGAUCGGGACGAUAAUGACGGUACCGGAAGAAGAAGCACCGGCUAACUCUGUGCCAGCAGCCGCAGUAAAAC
rnacentral:rRNA from 1 species